GAGUCGUCCUGCGCGGAAGAUGUAACGGGGCUAAGCCAGUUACCGAAGCUGCGGAUGCACAGUUUACUGUGCGUGGUAGGAGAGCGUUCUGUACGCCUGUGAAGGUGGGUCGUGAGGCCUGCUGGAGGUAUCAGAAGUGCGAAUGCUGACAUGAGUAGCGUUAAAGGGGGUCAAAAGCCCCCUCGCCGUAAGCGCAAGGUUUCCUACGCAACGUUCAUCGGCGUAGGGUGAGUCGGCCCCUAAGGCGAGGCAGAGAUGCGUAGCUGAUGGGAAACAGGUCAAUAUUCCUGUACCGCUCAAUAGUGCGAUGUGGGGACGGAGAAGGUUAGCUCAGCCAACUGUUGGAUAUGUUGGUUCAAGCCUGUAGUCGUGCCUGGUAGGCAAAUCCGCCGGGCUUAGAUGAGGGGUGAUAACGAGGCUGCUUGCAGCCGAAGUGAGUGAUACCCUGCUUCCAGGAAAAGCCACUAAGCUUCAGCUAUUGACGACCGUACCGCAAACCGACACUGGUGCGCGAGAUGAGUAUUCUAAGGCGCUUGAGAGAACUCUGGAGAAGGAACUCGGCAAAUUGACACCGUAACUUCGGAAGAAGGUGUGCCUUUAGUAGGUGAACCAUUUACUUGGGGAGCCCAAUGAGGCCGCAGAUAAUCGGUGGCUGCGACUGUUUAUUAAAAACACAGCACUCUGCAAAG
rnacentral:rRNA from 1 species